UCAUGAGACUGAAAGAAAUUUCAAAAGGGCCUUGUAUAUAUUUAUCAUCAGGUGUAUAAUGAGCGCAAAUGGCUGAACCUCUUCAAGAUGCAGUAUCCUCAAUUGUAAAAUUACAGUAAUAAAAUCCUUUUGCUCUGGGGAACACAAGCCACCAACCCAUGUGGACACAUCCAGUCUUUUGGAAAAAUCCCAUAUGCCACCAGUCAGCAAGAAUUUGACACUCAUGAGAGUGAGCUACCUUGGAAGAUCCUCCAGCCUUAGUCAAGACUCAGGAUGACUGUGGCUCCCACUGACCUAUGACUGACUACAUGAACCACCAAGUCAUGUUUUAAUUAAUGGUCUAUAUACUCUGUAAGAAACAAUAUGUACUGUUGUCUUAAACGAUUGAAUUUUGGCAUCAUU